AACGAACGCUGGCGGCAGGCUUAACACAUGCAAGUCGAACGGGCGUAGCAAUACGUCAGUGGCGGACGGGUGAGUAACACGUGGGAAUAUGCCUUUCGGUUCGGAACAACUCGGGGAAACCCGUGCUAAUUCCGGAUACGCCCUUACGGGGAAAGAUUAUCGCCGAAAGAUUAGCCCGCGUUGGAUUAGCUAGUUGGUGAGGUAAAGGCUCACCAAGGCGACGAUCCAUAGCUGGUUUGAGAGAACGACCAGCCACACUGGGACUGAGACACGGCCCAGACUCCUACGGGAGGCAGCAGUGGGAAGUCUUGGACAAUGGGCGCAAGCCUGAUCCAGCCAUGCCGCGUGAGUGAUGAA
rnacentral:rRNA from 1 species